rnacentral:rRNA from 1 species
ACUAUCGUUAACUGAAUACAUAGGUUAACGAGGCGAACCGGGGGAACUGAAACAUCUAAGUACCCCGAGGAAAAGAAAUCAACCGAGAUUCCCCCAGUAGCGGCGAGCGAACGGGGAGCAGCCCAGAGUCUGAAUCAGCUUGUGUGUUAGUGGAACGGUCUGGAAAGUCCGACGGUACAGGGUGAUAGUCCCGUACACCAAAAUGCACAGGUUGUGAACUCGAAGAGUAGGGCGGGACACGUGGUAUCCUGUCUGAAUAUGGGGGGACCAUCCUCCAAGGCUAAAUACUCCUGACUGACCGAUAGUGAACCAGUACCGUGAGGGAAAGGCGAAAAGAACCCCGGCGAGGGGAGUGAAAAAGAACCUGAAACCGUGUACGUACAAGCAGUGGGAGCACCUUCGGGUGUGACUGCGUACCUUUUGUAUAAUGGGUCAGCGACUUAUAUUCUGUAGCAAGGUUAACCGUAUAGGGGAGCCGCAGGGAAACCGAGUCUUAACUGGGCGUUAAGUUGCAGGGUAUAGACCCGAAACCCGGUGAUCUAGCCAUGGGCAGGUUGAAGGUUGGGUAACACUAACUGGAGGACCGAACCGACUAAUGUUGAAAAAUUAGCGGAUGACUUGUGGCUGGGGGUGAAAGGCCAAUCAAACCGGGAGAUAGCUGGUUCUCCCCGAAAGCUAUUUAGGUAGCGCCUCGUGAACUCAUCUUCGGGGGUAGAGCACUGUUUCGGCUAGGGGGUCAUCCCGACUUACCAACCCGAUGCAAACUACGAAUACCGAAGAAUGUUAUCACGGGAGACACACGGCGGGUGCUAACGUCCGUCGUGAAGAGGGAAACAACCCAGACCGCCAGCUAAGGUCCCAAAGUCAUGGUUAAGUGGGAAACGAUGUGGGAAGGCACAGACAGCCAGGAUGUUGGCUUAGAAGCAGCCAUCAUUUAAAGAAAGCGUAAUAGCUCACUGGUCGAGUCGGCCUGCGCGGAAGAUGUAACGGGGCUAAACCAUGCACCGAAGCUGCGGCAGCGACACUAUGUGUUGUUGGGUAGGGGAGCGUUCUGUAAGCCUGCGAAGGUGUGCUGUGAGGCAUGCUGGAGGUAUCAGAAGUGCGAAUGCUGACAUAAGUAACGAUAAAGCGGGUGAAAAGCCCGCUCGCCGGAAGACCAAGGGUUCCUGUCCAACGUUAAUCGGGGCAGGGUGAGUCGACCCCUAAGGCGAGGCCGAAAGGCGUAGUCGAUGGGAAACAGGUUAAUAUUCCUGUACUUGGUGUUACUGCGAAGGGGGGACGGAGAAGGCUAUGUUAGCCGGGCGACGGUUGUCCCGGUUUAAGCAUGUAGGCUGGUUGUCCAGGCAAAUCCGGAUAAUCAAGGCUGAGGUGUGAUGACGAGGCACUACGGUGCUGAAGUAACAAAUGCCCUGCUUCCAGGAAAAGCCUCUAAGCAUCAGGUAACAUCAAAUCGUACCCCAAACCGACACAGGUGGUCAGGUAGAGAAUACCAAGGCGCUUGAGAGAACUCGGGUGAAGGAACUAGGCAAAAUGGUGCCGUAACUUCGGGAGAAGGCACGCUGGUGUGUAGGUGAAGCCCCUGCGGGUGGAGCUGAGACCAGUCGAAGAUACCAGCUGGCUGCAACUGUUUAUUAAAAACACAGCACUGUGCAAACACGAAAGUGGACGUAUACGGUGUGACGCCUGCCCGGUGCCGGAAGGUUAAUUGAUGGGGUUAUCCGUAAGGAGAAGCUCUUGAUCGAAGCCCCGGUAAACGGCGGCCGUAACUAUAACGGUCCUAAGGUAGCGAAAUUCCUUGUCGGGUAAGUUCCGACCUGCACGAAUGGCGUAAUGAUGGCCAGGCUGUCUCCACCCGAGACUCAGUGAAAUUGAACUCGCUGUGAAGAUGCAGUGUACCCGCGGCAAGACGGAAAGACCCCGUGAACCUUUACUAUAGCUUGACACUGAACAUUGAGCCUUGAUGUGUAGGAUAGGUGGGAGGCUUUGAAGCGUGGACGCCAGUCUGCGUGGAGCCAACCUUGAAAUACCACCCUUUAAUGUUUGAUGUUCUAACGUUGGCCCCUGACCGGGGUUGCGGACAGUGUCUGGUGGGUAGUUUGACUGGGGCGGUCUCCUCCCAAAGCGUAACGGAGGAGCACGAAGGUUAGCUAAUCCUGGUCGGACAUCAGGAGGUUAGUGCAAUGGCAUAAGCUAGCUUGACUGCGAGCGUGACGGCGCGAGCAGGUGCGAAAGCAGGUCAUAGUGAUCCGGUGGUUCUGAAUGGAAGGGCCAUCGCUCAACGGAUAAAAGGUACUCCGGGGAUAACAGGCUGAUACCGCCCAAGAGUUCAUAUCGACGGCGGUGUUUGGCACCUCGAUGUCGGCUCAUCACAUCCUGGGGCUGAAGUAGGUCCCAAGGGUAUGGCUGUUCGCCAUUUAAAGUGGUACGCGAGCUGGGUUUAGAACGUCGUGAGACAGUUCGGUCCCUAUCUGCCGUGGGCGCUGGAGAAUUGAGGGGGGCUGCUCCUAGUACGAGAGGACCGGAGUGGACGCAUCACUGGUGUUCGGGUUGUCAUGCCAAUGGCACUGCCCGGUAGCUAAAUGCGGAAGAGAUAAGUGCUGAAAGCAUCUAAGCACGAAACUUGCCCCGAGAUGAGUUCUCCCUGAGACUUUAAGUCUCCUGAAGGAACGUUGAAGACGACGACGUUGAUAGGCCGGGUGUGUAAGCGCAGCGAUGCGUUGAGCUAACCGGUACUAAUGAACCGUGAGGCUUAACC